AAAAGGAAGGCAGCUGUACAAUCACGCAAACAGAGAGAACAAAAAAUACCUUUAUUUACGGUUGUACGUGAAAUUCACUUUCUUGCUCUCGCACGUUUUCUAACCUUCUUUCGUCUUUUUUUCUUUGAUCUUUUCACCUUCUGAGGAAUUCUGGAUUUCUGUUGAAAGCCUGAGAAUGGAUGCCCGAGAGGAUGAGGAUACAUCUUUGAGGUAUAACACAACCGAGGUGUGAAAGUCAAGGGCACAGAAAUUCAUAGAUGUAACACACCUAAAAUAGAACAGGAUUAAGCAGUGUCUUUACAUGGGUGCCAGGCUCUUAGCAAACAAACCAUUCACAAAUGGAAAAUGCAAUCGAGCAAAUACUGUUAGCAGACAAAAGGAACAGGGUGCACGUCUGCAGACACGGAAAAGCCAUUUCAGUUUGCUUGUCAGAGCACAUAAGGUUUCACAAAAGCAUAGUUUAAGUCCAAAAGCAGCAGAUGUG